rnacentral:rRNA from 1 species
AUGGAACAAUGUAGGCAAGGGAAGUCGGCAAAACGGAUCCGUAACUUCGGGAAAAGGAUUGGCUCUGAGGACUGGGCUCGGGGGUCCCGGCCCCGAACCCGUCGGCUGUCGGCGGAUUGCUCGAGUUGCUCACGCGGCGAGAGCGGGUCGCCGCGUGCCGGCCGGGGGACGGACCGGGAAUCGCCCCUUCGGGGGCUUUCCCCGAGCAUGAAACAGUCGACUCAGAACUGGUACGGACAAGGGGAAUCCGACUCUUUAAUUAAAACAAAGCAUUGCGAUGGUCCUCGCGGAUGCUGA